rnacentral:misc_RNA from 1 species
CUGGUGCAUCAUUCUUGAGAAAACUUCAUAACUAACAAAUUUACGCAUCAAGGAGUCUCUGGGGAAUGCUUUCCAGGAUGGCUUAUCUUCUCUUGUAGUGAUUCUGGUUUAUCAACCAUACAUUUGUGGUGAAGAUGAGCUUCGCUUUACUUGUUGAUUCAAAUGUUUGCAGUGAAUGUGCUUAGUGUAUUGUGGGGUUGGGGGGGGAUUACAGAUUUUUAAUUGUUAGCUUAACAAGGUAAGAUUUUGCUGUUCUGCCUUGUAAAGCAGAUUUUUUUUUUCACAAAGUUCUUGAAUAAAAUUGAGUCUAUCAUUGCUGAAUUACAACUAAAAAUCUGUAAUUCCCCACCAACCCCACAAU